UGCCAGCAGCCGCGGUAACACGAACUGCGCGAACGUUAUUCGGAAUCAUUGGGCUUAAAGAGUUCGUAGGCGGCCUGAUAAGUUGGGUGUGAAAUCCCUCGGCUCAACCGAGGAACUGCGCCCAAUACUGUCAGGCUUGAGGGAGACAGAGGUGAGUGGAACUGAUGGUGGAGCGGUGAAAUGCGUUGAUAUCAUCAGGAACACCGGUGGCGAAAGCGGCUCACUGGGUCUCUUCUGACGCUGAGGAACGAAAGCUAGGGGAGCGAACGGGAUUAGAUA
rnacentral:rRNA from 1 species